rnacentral:lncRNA from 1 species
AGAAUGUUAAACAAUGGAUCUGACUCCCUCGACAAGAUUCUCCAAAGUAGAAAAAUAACAGGAGACAAAUCUUGUGUUGGGUAUAAUGAAUCUAAGCCUGAGUGCAGUUACACUGGUUGCAAACCUCAAGCCAAACCUAAAUGUAGCCAUAGUAAAAGCAAACAUGUGAUGUCACAGCAUAUUUCACAACAUCAUAAGAG